rnacentral:SRP_RNA from 1 species
GCUGGGCAUGGUGGCGUGUGCCUGUAAUCCCAGCUACUCGGGAGGCUGAGGUAGGAGAAUCGCUUGAGCCCGGGAGGCGGAGGUUGCAGUGAGUUGAGAUCGCACCACUGCACUCCAUCCUGGGCAACAGAGCAAGAUGCCAUCUCAA